AACGAACGCUGGCGGCAGGCCUAAUACAUGCAAGUCGAACGCUCCAGCAAUGGAGAGUGGCAGACGGGUGAGUAACGCGUGGGAACCUUCCCAGUGGUACGGAAUAGCUCAGGGAAACUUGAGGUAAUACCGUAUACGCCCUUCGGGGGAAAGAUUUAUCGCCAUUGGAUGGGCCCGCGUCGGAUUAGCUAGUUGGUGGGGUAAUGGCCCACCAAGGCGACGAUCCGUAGCUGGUCUGAGAGGAUGAUCAGCCACACUGGGACUGAGACACGGCCCAGACUCCUACGGGAGGCAGCAGUAGGGAAUAUUGGACAAUGGGCGCAAGCCUGAUCCAGCCAUGCCGCGUGAGUGACGAAGGCCUUCGGGUUGUAAAGCUCUUUUGGCGGGGACGAUAAUGACGGUACCCGCAGAAUAAGCUCCGGCUAACUUCGUGCCAGCCGCCGCAGUAAAAC
rnacentral:rRNA from 1 species